rnacentral:rRNA from 1 species
AAUGACUCUCGGCAACGGAUAUCUCGGCUCUUGCAUCGAUGAAGAACGUAGCAAAAUGCGAUACUUGGUGUGAAUUGCAGAAUCCCGUGAACCAUCGAGUCUUUGAACGCAAGUUGCGCCUGAAACCAUUAGGUUGAAGGCACGUCUGCCUGGGUGUCACACAA